rnacentral:rRNA from 1 species
UACGUAGGGUGCAAGCGUUGUCCGGAAUUAUUGGGCGUAAAGGGCUCGUAGGCGGUCCGUCACGUCGGGAGUGAAAUCCUGGGGCUUAACCCCAGAACUGCUUCCGAUACGGGCAGACUAGAGGUAGGUAGGGGAGAAUGGAAUUCCUGGUGUAGCGGUGGAAUGCGCAGAUAUCAGGAGGAACACCAGUGGCGAAGGCGGUUCUCUGGGCCUUACCUGACGCUGAGGAGCGAAAGCCAGGGGAGCAAACGGG